GAUGAACGCUGGCGGCGUGCCUAAUACAUGCAAGUCGAGCGAACAGAUGAGGUUCUUUUUCUUCUGCCGUUAGCGGCGGACGCGUGAGUAACACGUGGAUAACCUACCUAUAAGACUGGGAUAACUUCGGCAACCCGGAGCUAACUCCUGAUAAUUUCUUUACCCGCAUGGUUCCAUAGUGAAAGACGAUUUUGCUGUCACUUAUAGAUGGAUCCGGGCCGCAUUAUCUAUGUGGUAAGGUAACGGCAUACCAAGGCAACGAUGCGUAGCGGACCUGAGAUGGUGGGCGGACACACUGGAACGGAGACGCGGUCCAGACCACUACGGUAGGCAGGAGUAGGGAAUCUAACGCUAGGGAAGAAAGCCUGACGUGGCAACGCCGCGUGAGUGAUAAAAUGCCUGUGUUCGUAAUACUCAGUUAUUAGGGAACAACAAAUGUGUAAGUAACGAUGCACGCCUUGACGGUACCGAAUCAGAAAGCCACGGCUAACUACGUG
rnacentral:rRNA from 1 species